ensembl:rRNA 5S_rRNA 5S ribosomal RNA
GUCUACUGUCAUUUCACCCUGAACACACCCAAUCUCGCCUGAUCUUUGAAGCUAAGCAGGGUCAGGCCUGGUUAGUACUUGGAUGGCAGACAGACAGCCGGACUUUGGAGGAG